rnacentral:rRNA from 1 species
UACGAGGGGGCAAGCGUUGUUCGGAAUUAUUGGGCGUAAAGGGCGCGUAGGCGGUGUCGCAAGUCCGUGGUGAAACUCUCUAGGCUCAACUUAGAGACUGCCGCGGAAACUGCGGUGCUUGAGUGUGGGAGAGGUGCGUGGAAUUCCCGGUGUAGCGGUGAAAUGCGUAGAUAUCAGGAGGAACACCUGUGGUGUAGACAGCUUUCUGGACCAUUGCUGACGCUGAGACACGAAAGCGUGGGUAGCAAACAGG